rnacentral:rRNA from 1 species
UACAGAGGGUGCAAGCGUUGUUCGGAAUCAUUGGGCGUAAAGGGCGUGUAGGCGGUAUGUUAAGUCAUGUGUGAAAUCCCUCGGCUCAACCGGGGAACGACGCAUGAAACUGGCAGGCUAGAGUACCAAAGAGGGGGGGUGGAAUUCCAGGUGUAGCGGUGAAAUGCGUAGAUAUCUGGAGGAACACCGGUGGCGAAGGCGGCAUCCUGGACCGACACUGACGCUGAUGCGCGAAAGCCAGGGGAGCAAACGGG